GAUGAACGCUCGCUACAGGCUUAACACAUGCAAGUCGAGGGACCGGCGCACGGGUGAGUAACACGUAUCCAACCUUCCCUUUACUCGGGGAUAGCCUUUCGAAAGACAGAUUAAUACCCGAUAUAAAGGAUUGGGAUGCGUUCCAUUAGGUUGUUGGUGAGUUAACGGCUCACCAAGACUUCGAUGGAUAGGGGUUCUGAGAGGAAGGUCCCCAAGAUUGGAACUGAGACACGGUCCAAACGCCUACGGGAGGAAGAAGUGAGGAAUAUUGGUAAAUGGGCGCUAGCCUGAACCAGCCAAGUAGCGUGAAGGAUGAAGGCUGAUGGGUAGUAAACUUCUGAUAUAUAAGAAUAUGUAUUAGAUGAAUAAGGAUCGGCUAACUACGUGCCAGCCGCCGCGGUAAUUC
rnacentral:rRNA from 1 species